GUGCUCUCCAUACGAAAGAAUCGUCCGUAUCACUAAAACAGCGAUAGAAGGGCUAUUAACAUGAUAACAAAGCGAGUCAUGAAACUGCUGGAGAUUCACAACGCUAAACGAAAAGAUAGAAGGGUUAUAAAUUCUACAACAGACCGAGUCAUGAAGCUGCAGGAGAUUCAUCACGCUAGGCCACCGCUUGUUGGAAAAACAAACAACAAACCAGUCUAAUUCUUCGAAAAAUCUUAAUAUUUCCUGGCUUAAUCCUAAUAAUUCACUAAAGUUAUUAAAUGAGUUUAUUUCUUAAGAGUCAGAAAUCUUAUUGAUUAAAUGAAAACUUAAAGUUAAUUGCUUAUGAUUGGUGUUAAAAGCUUGGAAUAGAAUGGAAACUGCAAUAAAUAAUCCCCAGAUCCAUAGAAAAAACUUAAGUGCAAAUAUAAAUAUUUGAUGAUAUACAGAGAUGUAAAGAGCUGUUUAUCAUAUUUCACUAAAAUAAGACAAUACCAGAUCUUAACAGCCUCAGCCUGUUUUGCAAAACCCGAAUGUCUGUUCGUUGGAUUGAGGUGUCGGUUGGAUUGAGGUGUCCGUUGUCCGAGAAAGGAGGCUAAAAGACUUUGCCAAUAAACUGAAUAUUUGAAAAUGAUCGUGAUAAGGAGGUGUCCGUUAUAAGGAGGUGUCUGCUAAUACUAGGUCGGCUAUUACUAGGUGUCCGAUAUAAGGAUGUAUCCAGUAUAGGAAUUUAGUGAUAACACUUCUUAGUUUGUCGAUGUAUUAACACUUCACUGUACAAACACUGCCUGAAGCCAAGCUUGUAUAUGAUUAAAAUUAAUACAAUAAAAUAACGACUGUGUACAAGAAUGAAAUAUAAGUACGACGUCUCGCGCAUCACUCUUCGUCUUAAUUUUUGCUAACUACUUGACGUACAACACGCUCAACUCCAUUGAUUAUAUAUCCCACUAAUGUUAACUAGUUUUCUCCAACCUCCAAGAUGAAGUGGAACAGGGAGCUUUAUCAAGUAAAAACUGAGGUAUCAUGAAGGGACGGAAACCUAUGAUAGAUAAUAAGCAACAUGCUUUCUCAAUCCCUUCAUUUUCUUUUUUCUUUUCGAUAACAUCCAUUUAACAAAAUAAAACACAAACAAUUUCCCGGCUUUUCUAUACAAAAUCGUCAAAGAUAUUUUCAUUAACUUGUUAAAGGUCUAUUAUCUUCAAAAAGUUCGGGGUAUGGGAUUCAGGUGUCUCCCGGUUCCAACCCCCUUCGAACACUUGUGAAUGAGAAUUCGCAGUAAUAAAUUUUUAUGGAGCAGUUUUCUUUCACAAAGACUUCUAGUCUAUUUUAAUGCAAAGGAUUAGCAAACUUCAACGUAUUUCGUAGAUGGAUAGGGGCAAAUUGAUGCUAGAAAUAAUUCUUUUACGUUCCGUUCGAAAUGGUGAGAGCGAGAAUCCCUUUUGUCGAGAGUCCUAAGAUUAAGUAUCGAUUUUUCUGUAUGGGAAAGCAAGCGGCUUAUAUAUGAGCAAACGCAUGAUUAAAUAACAUAUUUAUAAACAUGUGGUUAAUACCAUGGAAAAAAGAAACAAAACAUAGCCAUCCCCGAAGCAACGCUAAACAGAGAUAAAAUUGGGAAUGGAUAUAUAGAUGACAUCUGAACCGUCAUUGUGGUAAUAUAUGGAUUGCCUUUACAGACGAGGAGCUGUGCAAACUAUUUGCCAAGUUCAAACAAGGACAAAAUAAAAGCAGGUUUAGCCCUUUAGUGAAAACAACAGCUCUAAAUCCUAUGUCUAUAUUUCAUGCAUCUCCAAACCCCUCAUGUUUCUUUUGGAAUUUCGCAUCCUUGUUCGUGUACUUUCUAUCCUGUAGAUUUCACUUCUGGCCUGGGCAUGUUAUAGUUUGGUAGCAAAGAAAGGGGCGAGUAGAAAAGAAUUAACCCAAAUUGCUUGUCCUUUUGGACUCCAGCACCAAGAAGGGACUCGUAGAAAUGAUUCAGCCCUCGCUGCAAGCAAAUGUCCAGUCAGUGGGUGUAAAGGGUGCCUAUGAUCCCCCUAUUGGAAUCAAAAGCCGGAUAUCCUGAAAUUAUGAAAUGUCACUGACAUUUUCAACAAAAUAUUCACUUAUCUCUUUCCAUUCACGUAUCAAUUUAUCAAAUGACACGCCGCCUGGAAAUGGGUGUUGAACUCAGCCCCAAUUUCCCCCAGCUCAACAGAAAGUCACCAGUUUUCAAUCACUGAUCUUCGAGACCUCACCACUACAUAUUUGACUCUUUUAGAGGAAACUGUCACUAAUCUUUUUCUUCCAAGCAUUGGAUUUUUCUGAUUCAAGGCAGUGAUGUCAAGCUUUUAGUAGCUGCAAAUUUUUCAAUCGUAAGAUGCUUUCAAAAAACCGUCUGCACCUCCAACCAACCUCCAAAAUAAACCUAACCAAAUUGUCAACUCAAAAAGUGUGCACAUUAAACCUGAGUUAAUUGUAGAAAAUUGGUUCCCUUAAAUUCGAUCUGAAAAAACAGGAGGGGCAGAGGCAAAAAAUUUCAUUAACCCACUUGUCAAUAAAACAUCGAUGCGAUUAAAAAAAUUUAUUUAAAUCGCCUUGUUACCAAAUGAGGGAAAAUUCGCUUGCGGACCAUCAAAAGACUUUACUCUCGAUGCUCAAUAUGAGCAAUAAUAUUCCGUUUGAAAGCCUCUUUGUAAACUUCUGUCUGUAAACGGAAAUUCUUAACAACAUCAAGUGAAUAAUUUGUCCUUUAAAAUAAGUUUAUCACAGAUUGUAGGUAAUUUUCUUUUCGAACCCGAAAUUGGUUUGGUGAAUAAAAUACGAAGCGUAAGUUCAACGGGCUUGCAUCCAGGGUGUGCUCAUGCCAUAAAACAAAAACAAUGAACGCCGUUUGUCUAGGCCAGCCAAAUAGUCGUCGGACGGUCCACACAAAAACCACAAAAUCAGUCACCCUUACCUCUAUCAAAUCUGAUUCCAACAUCCUUUACAGCAGGUGAAAGCAUCAGCUAACAUAUAAAACGAUUUCCCAAAAUCCCGGCACUAAACUUCAUAAGAAUUUAAAACUUCAGCUCCAAAAGUACGCUCUGGCAGGGAAACAUAUACAUCUUCCAAACAAAGAUGUCUGACUCAAACGAUAACGUACGCACUGUAAUCCUAUUUCAAAAGUCACACAAAAAGAGCUUUGUUUAAAAUAUAAUACCGCACACAAAGAAUAUUCUCAAAUCUUUUAUUUCAUAGUAAACAUGAGGAUUGUUUCCUCCCAAUUCACUUCAGCGAUAAUUAUUUCUCUGUUGAUGAGGAAAACAAGCUUUGGAAACAGAAUUAAAUAGGAUCAUGUCGGCGAUGGGAGAUCAGGUCGUAGGAACACCCUCGGGCGGGGAGGCACAUGUUCUUAUAAACACAUCCAGUGUGUUAACGAACAAGGCAGCUGUAAAAGACCGAUAGCAGCCUAUAGCAAUGGGCAUGUUAGAAGCAUCAAAUGCAAUUUAUAUGGCCCCAACAAUAAGUAUUGACAGGGAACUUAUAAGAUACAAGUUUUGUGCAAUCUGGACAUCAAUGUUAUGGUUCAGAUAAAAGGCGAGUACACACCCUCAUUAUGUGGUCACUAAUCGUAAGAAUCCUGCAACCACAUUUCCUGGGCCAAAGGUGACUCUAGUUAUUGUGAGAAAGUAAAUAAAACGCGACUCUCCCACCUUUGUUUGAUUGGUUGCUAUGGUGAUAACGAGUAGUAGUAGCUCCGGGGGAAGAUGUGGAGGCAAUUUUUUUUGGGGGGGG